rnacentral:rRNA from 1 species
CGCCUACCGAAUCCAACCGAACUCCGAAUGCCGGCGGCCCAGAGCGCGGCAGUCAGAGCAUGUGGGCUAAGCUGUGUGCUCGAGAGGGAAACAGCCCGGACCGCCCGCUAAGGUCCCCAAGUUCCAGCCGAGUGGCAAAGGAUGUGCGUCCGCCCAGACAACCAGGAUGUUGGCUUAGAAGCAGCCAUCCAUUCAAAGAGUGCGUAACAGCUCACUGGUCGAGUGGACAUGCGCCGACAAUACACGGGGCUAAGCUGGACACCGAAGCGGCGGGAUUUUGAUUUACAGAAUCGGUAGGGGAGCUUCCCAUGGGCGGAGAAGCCGGAGGGCGACCGACGGUGGAGCGCAUGGGAGUGAGAAUGCUGGCAUGAGUAGCGAGAGACGAGAGAGUAACUCGUCCGCCGUGAACCCGAGGUUUCCUGGGCAAGGCUAAUCCUCCCAGGGUCAGUCGGGGGCUAAGGCGAGGCCGGUAGGCGUAGCCGACGCGCAGCAGGCAGACAUUCCUGCACCGCGCACGCGGCGCUACGACCGACGGGGCGACGGAUGGGGGUGGCUCGGCGGGGUUCUGGACGUCCCCGUGAUGGAGCGCGGCCCGCGGACCAGGGAAAUCCGGUCCGCAUUGAGGGCGAGGCUCCGGACGAAGCACUUAAGCGAAGCGAGUGAGCCCGAGGUCCCUAGAAAAACCCCUAGGCAGGCGCGUGCGCGCCCGUACCGCAAACCGACACAGGUGGGUGGGUAGAACAUACCGAGGCGAUCGGGUCAACCAUGGUCAAGGAACUCGGCACAAUGGCCCCGUAACUUCGGGAGAAGGGGUGCCCGCGCGUACGUGAACGGACUUGCUCCGGGAGCGGAGGCGGGCCGCAGUGGAGAGGCCCAAGCGACUGUUUACCAAAAACACAGGACUCUGCAGAAGCCGCAAGGCGACGUAUAGGGUCUGACGCCUGCCCGGUGCCGGAAGGUCACGCGGAGGAGUUAGCCGAUUCGGCGAAGCCCCGAAGCCAAGCCCCGGUAAACGGCGGCCGUAACUAUAACGGUCCUAAGGUAGCGAAAUUCCUUGUCGGGUAAGUUCCGACCUGCACGAAAGGCGCAACGACUUGGGCGCUGUCUCGACCAUGGACCCGGUGAAAUUGCACUGGUCGUGAAGAUGCGACUUACCCGCGGAAGGACGGAAAGACCCCGUGAACCUUCACUGCAGCUUGGCAUUGGCCGCUGGUCCCGCGUGUAGAGGAUAGGCAGGAGGCAUCGAUCCGGAGGCGCCAGCCCCCGGGGAGCCGCCCUUGGAAUACUGCCCUCGCGCGACCGGCGUCCUAACCCGAGGCCGUCAACCGGCUCGGGGACCGUGCCAGGCGGGCAGUUUGACUGGGGCGGUCGCCUCCUAAAGGGUAACGGAGGCGCGCGAAGGUCCGCUCGGGACGGUCGGCAACCGUCCUUUUGAAUGCAAGAGUACAAGCGGGCUUGACUGCGAGGCCCACAAGCCGAGCAGGUGCGAAAGCAGGCUCUAGUGAUCCGGCGGCCCCGAGUGGGUGGGCCGUCGCUCAACGGAUAAAAGGUACUCCGGGGAUAACAGGCUGAUCUUGCCCAAGAGUCCACAUCGACGGCAAGGUUUGGCACCUCGAUGUCGGCUCAUCGCAUCCUGGGGCUGAAGUAGGUCCCAA